UGGUAGUNCACGCCCUAAACGAUGUCAAUUAGCUGUUGGGCAACUUGAUUGCUUAGUAGCGUAGCUAACGCGUGAAAUUGACCGCCUGGGGAGUACGGUCGCAAGAUUAAAACUCAAAGGAAUUGACGGGGACCCGCACAAGCGGUGGAUGAUGUGGAUUAAUUCGAUGCAACGCGAAGAACCUUACCUGGUCUUGACAUGUACGGAAUCUUCCAGAGACGGAGAGUGCCUUCGGGAACCGUAACACAGGUGNUGCAUGGCUGUCGUCAGCUCGUGUCGUGAGAUGUUGGGUUAAGUCCCGCAACGAGCGCAACCCUUGUCAUUAGUUGCCAUCAUUCAGUUGGGCACUNUAAUGAGACUGCCGGUGACAAACCGGAGGAAGGUGGGGACGACGUCAAGUCCUCAUGGCCCUUAUGACCAGGGCUUCACACGUCAUACAAUGGUCGGUACAGAGGGUAGCCAAGCCGCGAGGUGGAGCCAAUCCCAGAAAACCGAUCGUAGUCCGGAUUGCACUCUGCAACUCGAGUGCAUGAAGUCGGAAUCGCUAGUGAUCGCAGGUCAGCAUACUGCGGUGAAUACGUUCCCGGGUNUUGUACACACCGCCCGUCACACCAUGGAAGUGGGGGAUACCAGAAGUAGGUAGGCUAACCGCAAGGAGGCCGCUUACC
rnacentral:rRNA from 1 species